AGAGUUUGAUCCUGGCUCAGGAUGAACGCUGGCGGCGUGCCUAAUACAUGCAAGUCGGACGUUGAGUUUGGGAAACUAGGCUUAGCGUGGCGAACGGGUGAGUAACACAUGGUUGACCUGCCCUUCAGAGGGGGACAACGGCUGGAAACGGUCGCUAAUACCCCGUACGCUGGCUGGGGUUAGAGGCCCGGUCAGGAAAGCGCGCAAGCGUGCUGAAGGAGGGGACGGUGGCCCAUCAGCUAGUUGGAGAGGUAACGGCUCACCAAGGCGGGGACGGGUAGGGGGCCUGAGAGGGUGGUCCCCCACACUGGAACUGAGAGACGGUCCAGACUCCUACGGGAGGCAGCAGUAAGGGAUAUUGCGCGAAUGGGCGAAAGCCUGACGCAGCAACGCCGCGUGCGGGAGGACGGCCUUCGGGUUGUAAACCGCUUUUCGAGGUGAAGAGCGAGGACGGUAGCCUCGGAAGAAGUCUCGGCUAACUACGUGCCAGCAGCCGCGGUAAAACGUAGGAGGCGAGCGUUAUCCGGAUUUACUGGGUGUAAAGCGCGUGCAGGCGGUGGGCAAAGUUCGGUGUGAAAGCGCCUGGCUCAACCGGGCGAGGACGCCGAAAACUGGUUCACUGGAGGCAGGGAGGGGUCUGUGGAAUUCCGGGUGUAGUGGUGAAAUGCGUAGAGAUCCGGAGGAACACCAGUGGCGAAGGCGGCAGACUGGUCCUGACCUGACGCUCAGACGCGAAAGCACGGGGAGCGAACGGGAUUAGAAACCCCGGUAGUCCGUGCCGUAAACGAUGCAGACUAGGUGUCGGCGACGCGAGUCGGCGGUGCCGCAGCUAACGUGAUAAGUCUGCCACCUGGGGAGUACGGCCGCAAGGUUAAAACUCAAAGGAAUUGACGGGGGCCCGCACAAGCAGCGGAGCGUGUGGUUUAAUUCGAGGCUACACGAAGAACCUUACCUGGGCUUGACAUGACGGUGGUAGGGAACCGAAAGGGGACCGACCUUCGGGAGCCGUCACCGGUGCUGCAUGGCUGUCGUCAGCUCGUGUCGUGAGAUGUUCGGUUAAGUCCGGUAACGAGCGCAACCCUCAGGUCCAGUUACAGGUUGUCUGGACCGACUGCCCGUUGAACGCGGGAGGAAGGUGGGGAUGACGUCAAGUCAGCAUGGCCUUGAUGUCCAGGGCUACACACACGCUACAAUGGCCAGCACAAUGGGUGCGCCAACCCGCGAGGGGGAGCCAAUCCAACAAAGCUGGUCUCAGUUCGGAUUGCAGGCUGCAACCCGCCUGCAUGAAGCCGGAGUUGCUAGUAACCGCCGGUCAGCUAUACGGCGGUGAAUACGUUCCCGGGCCUUGUACACACCGCCCGUCACGUCAUGGGAGCUGGUCAUGCCUGAAGUCGGUGGGCUAACCGCAAGGAGGCAACCGCCUAAGGCAGGGCUGGUGACUGGGACGAAGUCGUAACAAGGUA
rnacentral:rRNA from 1 species